GCCAGUCUGCAUGGAGCCGGCCUUGAAAUACCACCCUUUAAUGUUUGAUGUUCUAACGUGGACCCGUGAUCCGGGUUGCGGACAGUGUCUGGUGGGUAGUUUGACUGGGGCGGUCUCCUCCUAAAGAGUAACGGAGGAGCACGAAGGUUGGCUAAUCCUGGUCGGACAUCAGGAGGUUAGUGCAAUGGCAUAAGCCAGCUUGACUGCGAGCGUGACGGCGCGAGCAGGUGCGAAAGCAGGUCAUAGUGAUCCGGUGGUUCUGAAUGGAAGGGCCAUCGCUCAACGGAUAAAAGGUACUCCGGGGAUAACAGGCUGAUACCGCCCAAGAGUUCAUAUCGACGGCGGUGUUUGGCACCUCGAUGUCGGCUCAUCACAUCCUGGGGCUGAAGUAGGUCCCAAGGGUAUGGCUGUUCGCCAUUUAAAGUGGUACGCGAGCUGGGUUUAGAACGUCGUGAGACAGUUCGGUCCCUAUCUGCCGUGGGCGCUGGAGAACUGAGGGGGGCUGCUCCUAGUACGAGAGGACCGGAGUGGACGCAUCACUGGUGUUCGGGUUGUCAUGCCAAUGGCACUGCCCGGUAGCUAAAUGCGGAAGAGAUAAGUGCUGAAAGCAUCUAAGCACGAAACUUGCCCCGA
rnacentral:rRNA from 1 species